AGUUAGCGGCGGACGGGUGAGUAACACGUGGGCAACCUGCCUGUAAGACUGGGAUAACUUCGGGAAACCGGAGCUAAUACCGGAUAAUCCUUUUCUACUCAUGUAGGAAAGCUGAAAGACGGUUUACGCUGUCACUUACAGAUGGGCCCGCGGCGCAUUAGCUAGUUGGUGAGGUAACGGCUCACCAAGGCGACGAUGCGUAGCCGACCUGAGAGGGUGAUCGGCCACACUGGGACUGAGACACGGCCCAGACUCCUACGGGAGGCAGCAGUAGGGAAUCUUCCGCAAUGGACGAAAGUCUGACGGAGCAACGCCGCGUGAGUGAUGAAGGUUUUCGGAUCGUAAAACUCUGUUGUUAGGGAAGAACAAGUACGAGAGUAACUGCUCGUACCUUGACGGUACCUAACCAGAAAGCCACGGCUAACUACGUGCCAGCAGCCGCGGUAAUACGUAGGUGGCAAGCGUUGUCCGGAAUUAUUGGGCGUAAAGCGCGCGCAGGCGGUCCUUUAAGUCUGAUGUGAAAGCCCACGGCUCAACCGUGGAGGGUCAUUGGAAACUGGGGGACUUGAGUGCAGAAGAGAAGAGUGGAAUUCCACGUGUAGCGGUGAAAUGCGUAGAGAUGUGGAGGAACACCAGUGGCGAAGGCGACUCUUUGGUCUGUAACUGACGCUGAGGCGCGAAAGCGUGGGGAGCAAACAGGAUUAGAUACCCUGGUAGUCCACGCCGUAAACGAUGAGUGCUAAGUGUUAGAGGGUUUCCGCCCUUUAGUGCUGCAGCAAACGCAUUAAGCACUCCGCCUGGGGGAGUACGGGCCGCAAGGCUGAAACUCAAAGGGAAUUGACGGGGGGCCCGCACAAGCGGGGAGCAUGUGGUUAAUUUCGAAAGCAACGCGAAGAACCCUUACCAGGUCUUGACAUCUCCCUGACAAUUCCCUAGAGAUAGGACGUUCCCCCUUCGGGGG
rnacentral:rRNA from 1 species